UCCAGACUCCUACGGGAGGCAGCAGUGAGGAAUAUUGGUCAAUGGGAGAGAUCCUGAACCAGCCAAGCCGCGUGAGGGAAGACGGCCCUAUGGGUUGUAAACCUCUUUUGUCGGAGAACAAAACCCGGGACGUGUCCCGGACUGCGUGUAUCCGAAGAAAAAGCAUCGGCUAACUCCGUGCCAGCAGCCGCGGUAAUACGGAGGAUGCGAGCGUUAUCCGGAUUUAUUGGGUUUAAAGGGUGCGUAGGUGGUUAAUUAAGUCAGCGGUGAAAGUUUGUGGCUCAACCAUAAAAUUGCCGUUGAAACUGGUUGACUUGAGUAUAUUUGAGGUAGGCGGAAUGCGUGGUGUAGCGGUGAAAUGCAUAGAUAUCACGCAGAACUCCGAUUGCGAAGGCAGCUUACUAAACUAUAACUGACACUGAAGCACGAAAGCGUGGGGAUCAAACAGGAUUAGAUACCCGGGUAU
rnacentral:rRNA from 1 species